GACGAACGCUGGCGGCGUGCUUAACACAUGCAAGUCGAACGGAAAGGCCCAGCUUGCUGGGUGCUCGAGUGGCGAACGGGUGAGUAACACGUGGGUGAUCUGCCCCUAACUUCGGGAUAAGCUUGGGAAACUGGGUCUAAUACCGGAUAGGACAAUCGUUUAGUGUCGGUUGUGGAAAGUUUUUUCGGUUAGGGAUGAGCUCGCGGCCUAUCAGCUUGUUGGUGGGGUAAUGGCCUACCAAGGCGUCGACGGGUAGCCGGCCUGAGAGGGUGGACGGCCACAUUGGGACUGAGAUACGGCCCAGACUCCUACGGGAGGCAGCAGUGGGGAAUAUUGCACAAUGGGCGCAAGCCUGAUGCAGCGACGCCGCGUGGGGGAUGACGGCCUUCGGGUUGUAAACCUCUUUCGACAGGGACGAAGCUUUGGUGACGGUACCUGUAUAAGAAGCACCGGCUAACUACGUG
rnacentral:rRNA from 1 species